GAUCAUGGCUCAGAGUGAACGCUGGCGGCGUGCCUAAUACAUGCAUGUCGAACGAUGAAGCUCUAGCUUGCUAGAGUGGAUUAGUGGCGCACGGGUGAGUAAUGCAUAGAUAACAUGCCCUUUAGUCUAGGAUAGCCAUUGGAAACGAUGAUUAAUACUGGAUACUCCUUACGAGGGAAAGUUUUUCGCUAAAGGAUUGGUCUAUGUCCUAUCAGCUUGUUGGUGAGGUAAUGGCUCACCAAGGCUAUGACGGGUAUCCGGCCUGAGAGGGUGAACGGACACACUGGAACUGAGACACGGUCCAGACUCCUACGGGAGGCAGCAGUAGGGAAUAUUGCUCAAUGGGGGAAACCCUGAAGCAGCAACGCCGCGUGGAGGAUGAAGGUUUUCGGAUUGUAAACUCCUUUUGUUAGAGAAGAUAAUGACGGUAUCUAACGAAUAAGCACCGGCUAACUCCGUGCCAGCAGCCGCGGUAAUACGGAGGGUGCAAGCGUUACUCGGAAUCACUGGGCGUAAAGAGCGCGUAGGCGGGAUAGCAAGUCAGAUGUGAAAUCCUAUGGCUUAACCAUAGAACUGCAUUUGAAACUGUUAUUCUAGAGUAUGGGAGAGGUAGGUGGAAUUCUUGGUGUAGGGGUAAAAUCCGUAGAGAUCAAGAGGAAUACUCAUUGCGAAGGCGACCUGCUAGAACAUAACUGACGCUGAUGCGCGAAAGCGUGGGGAGCAAACAGGAUUAGAUACCCUGGUAGUCCACGCCCUAAACGAUGAAUGCUAGUUGUUGUGGAGCUUGUCUCUGCAGUAAUGCAGCUAACGCAUUAAGCAUUCCGCCUGGGGAGUACGGUCGCAAGAUUAAAACUCAAAGGAAUAGACGGGGACCCGCACAAGCGGUGGAGCAUGUGGUUUAAUUCGAAGAUACACGAAGAACCUUACCUAGGCUUGACAUUGAUAGAAUCCGCUAGAGAUAGUGGAGUGCUAGCUUGCUAGAACUUGAAAACAGGUGCUGCACGGCUGUCGUCAGCUCGUGUCGUGAGAUGUUGGGUUAAGUCCCGCAACGAGCGCAACCCUCGUCCUUAGUUGCUAACUAUUCGGUAGAGCACUCUAAGGAGACUGCCUUCGCAAGGAGGAGGAAGGUGAGGAUGACGUCAAGUCAUCAUGGCCCUUACGCCUAGGGCUUCACACGUGCUACAAUGGGAAGCACAAAGAGAUGCAAUAUUGUGAAAUGGAGCAAAUCUAUAAAACUUCUCUCAGUUCGGAUUGUAGUCUGCAACUCGACUACAUGAAGCUGGAAUCGCUAGUAAUCGUAAAUCAGCUAUGUUACGGUGAAUACGUUCCCGGGUCUUGUACUCACCGCCCGUCACACCAUGGGAGUUGUAUUCGCCUUAAGUCGGAAUGCCAAACUGGCUACCGCCCACGGCGGAUGCAGCGACUGGGGUGAAGUCGUAACAAGGUACCC
rnacentral:rRNA from 1 species